UAAACUUCGGCGCGUCCUGGUGCCCGCAGCACCAUCUGCAGUUAAACGGGAAGCAGGGAGCGCGCGCCCCAAGCGAUGCGCCAACCUGCGCUGCCCCCGCAACGGUAAGCGAACGCCGCGUGUACCCGCCAUCUCGCCAACAAGAAGAUGGGUGCCGCGCGGUCUGUCCAUACGCCACUGUUCUUUCGGGAAUGGGAAGGCGGACAGGCCGCUUCGCCAGCCCGGAUACCGGCCAGGACGGUGGAUCUCAG
rnacentral:ncRNA from 1 species